GUUUUAUAUUUAAAUUCUUAAAUUUUACAUUAAUUAUUUCAAAGUGCUUUAGUGGAAUAAAACUAUAUGACUCUUUCAAUAAUGACUUUAAUUUUUCAAAAUAAAAAUUACUAGUUUUGGUAUCCAAAUAAUUCAAGACAAAGUUAAUAAUGUGUGUAUAGACAUGUCACAUUUAACAACUAUUAUGAGAUGGUAUAUAACAUGGCCUUGUCUGGAUUCUCUAGAAUUAUGUUAUACGACUUAUUAAUUUUAUGUAGUUCUAAAAUUUAUAAGAAUCGAAUUUAACCGAAAAAAAAAAUAAAAAUUGAAGGACUAAAACUAAAUCCUAUCAUGUAAGAAAGGUAUGUAAUAAAGUGGUAUCUUCUUUAUCUGUGGGCAAACAAAGUUGUGUAAUUUCAGCUCCACACACAACGUAUUAUAUAAGAGGGCACAAGUUAUUUCAUUUUUUUUUAUCAAUAUCUUAGGUGCAAGAUGUGUGUAAGACAUGUGUAGAUGAGUUCAAAUCUGGACACAACUUCUUCACUUCUGUUAUUAAUGAAAAAUUUAGCUUACAAAAAAAAAAAAAUUCUUUAUCUUUGAGCAAACAAAAAACCUUGUCAUUUUUUUGUGAACAUUAAUUUUCAUAUAUUAUUUUCUUUUAUACACACUUUUACAAAAAUGUUUUUCUCUCUUCCUUUUCUUUAUUUGGUGAGUAUGCUUUAUAAAGAAUAUGACUAUGAUUUUAGUAAAUUUUGAUGUAAAAUUGAAAUUAGUUUAUGUUUCAAAUUUUGAUAUAGUUAGUCUUCAAAUGAAUAAAUAUAGUUCUUUUAAUCCAAUUGCGUUAAGUUUUUUUAACAUGUUAAACGACAUUUCAAACUAUAACAUUUGAAUUAUUUAUACCGUUUGACAUUUUUAAACUCAAAUGUUAGUUUGAAACACUAUUUAACACGUAAAAAUAGAUUUAAUGUUGUUGGAUUAACAACAGUAUAUUUAUUUAUUUUUUAAGUUUGAAAAUCAAAAUAAAUUUAAAUUUUAUGUCAAAGUUUAAGGACUUCAAAUAUAUUUAACUCUAAAAAAUAUAAAAACUGCAAAGGAGUACAUAAAAUGAACAUUAUAUGUUCUGAAUUUUAAUUAUUGUAUAACUAAUUAUUUUACAUCAUUUUAACCUACAAAACGUAAUUCAGAAGAGGUAGUUAAACCCUCACUUGAAUUUGUUACAUUAUAUCAGUUUAUAAUUUGCCACUAAGUGUCUUUACUAAUUGUUAACACAAGACUUUUGGCAAUAUUAAGGUUAUUUUGUUAUCUAAGUAAAAAAAAAAUUAAACUAUCAUUUUAUGGUAAAAAAGAAGAAGAAAAGAGAGAAAUUUAAAUGGUUUUAUCUCUCUUUUGUUAACAACAUAGGAAUGCAAGACAUUUUAGGGCGCAAGAGAGUGAGAAAAAUGAGUCACACCUGUCCAUAAAGUACUCCUUUCUUUUAGUCUUAUUAGAUCUUUAUUUUCCUUACCUUUAUUAAAUAUACAAUUGUAGUACAACUUACAUUCACAUUCUAUAAUUAAGCUGUAUUGAAGCUGGCGUUUUAAAAGUUUUUUUCUUCAUUUACGCUAAAAAAAAAAAAACUACUUUUAUAUUUAAUUUCAAAACUAAAUAACCACAUUGAUAAUAACCACACACAUCGACAACUUCAAUGUUCUAAUUAACUCAGCUUUUCCACACUACGAUGUAAUCUUUAAACUAGAUUCUAUUAUAAAUACACUAUAACAUCGUACUUAUCCACAUGUUGUUUAGUAUAUACACACAAAUAACACACAAUUCUUUGUAUUUGUUCAUUGACUACCAAAUAAUACACACACCACAAUAAAUCUUCAACUGUCAUAACUCAUUUACCUAUCUCAUUCUAUACUACUUAUACGUCCUGGAAUAUAUUUUUCAUAGCUAUUAGCAUAUGUUUAGAAUGAAGGAAUGAAAGAACAAUUUUAGUUUUUAUUAAAAUCAAGUUUUUUCACUAUUUCUUUCUUUUCAACCAAUCAUACCAUUAUUUUGGAAAAAGAAAAAGAAAAAUAUAUAAGAAAUUAUCAAUUUUCAUCAUUAUCUAAAACUGUGUAUACUAAUAACAUUAUAGUAAAUAAAAAACAACUUUAAUCAUUUCAAUAUUGUAUUUCUUUUACGCUUGCAUCAUCUGUUGAAAAAAGAGUUUCCUUUACUUCUUUCUUUCUCUUUCUAUAGUUCACAUCAUUAACAUUUUAUUAAACAUGAUUAUAAUUAACAGAGAUGGUAUUUUGUCAACAGUUAUAUAUACAAUUCUUGAUAUGGUUACUUUACUUGAAAAAAUAUAUAAUAAAGGGUGUAUCUAUAGUUAAAUAAUGUAAAAAAAAAAAGCAUUAAAACAAUAGUAAAUUAAGAGUAAUGUGAGUAUAAAGAAAGGAAGAGUUGUUAAGUAUCCUGGAUCCUAUAUAAUUAAAAGGUGUAAAGAGGAAUCUUUUUAUGCAAUUUUUCCAUGAGUGCAUGGGAAACAAGAUUGAGAAAAACCAUGAACAAAACAUUGGUGCAAACAAAACAACAUUCAUGUAUGCAGGAACCUUAACUCGCAGGAGCACACGAUGAUUUUUAGAGACAAAUCAAGAAACCCUAAAGAUUGCUAUCUUUGGCUACACAAGGGAGGAACAUACCUUGGAGUUGUGGUGGAUGUGAUGGUUCGUCGGAAUUACUGUGAACAGCAGUGGAGUGAGAGAGUGUUGUUGGAUCUUUUGGCGGUGGAUUGCCACCAAUAACUUCAACAAGAGCUGAUACCACAGCUGAAACGUCUUGCUUAGACCGAGAAAAAUAGAACGGAAACGCUUUUUCUUCUUCUUCUUCUUCUUCUUCUUCCUGAAGUGGCCUCUUUCCAUGUUUUGGAUCCACUUUUGCAACUCAGAUAUCGAUCACGUGAAAGGUACGAUGAAGUAUUUGGGUGAAUGGAAGGUGAAGGCGAUGGUGGAAAAGGGUGAAGAAACGGAAGUAGAAGGAGGAGUGAAGAAGAAGCUAGGGUUUUUAAAUGAAUAUGAAAUUUUGAGGACUAUAAAUCAACCCAAGAAAGAGGAA